rnacentral:rRNA from 1 species
ACUCCUACGGGAGGCAGCAGUGGGGAAUAUUGCACAAUGGGGAAACCCUGAUGCAGCCAUGCCGCGUGUGUGAAGAAGGCCUUCGGUUGUAAAGCACUUCAGUAGGGAGGAAGGUAGUGUAGUUAACACCUGCAUUAUUUGACGUUACCUACAGAAGAAGCACCGGCUAACUCCGUGCCAGCAGCCGCGGUAAUACGGAGGGGUGCGAGCGUUAAUCGGAAUUACUGGGCGUAAAGCGCAUGCAGGCGGCCUGUUAAGUCAGAUGUGAAAGCCCGGGGGCUUAACCUCGGAAUUGCAUUUGAAACUGGCAGGCUAGAGUCUUGUAGAGGGGGUAGAAUUUCAGGUGUAGCGGUGAAAUGCGUAGAGAUCUGAAGGAAUACCAGUGGCGAAGGCGGCCCCCUGGACAAAGACUGACGCUCAGAUGCGAAAGCUGGGGAGCAAACAGGAUUAGAUACCCUGGUAGCACAGAG